GAUAUAAAUAAUUUUAAAUUAUUAUUUUGAUUUGAGUAUAUAUACCAAGUAACAUAGACCCAUUACUUUUUAAUAUAAUGUAAUGGACUUUCAAUUUUUAAGUAGCAUAAACCCAUUAUUUUUUUUCCUAAUUUACUGCUAUCCAUGUUUCCAAACAAUACUAUUUUUUUUAAUUACUAUCCAUACUGUCAAACAAUUCCAAUGUGUACUUCAACUUUAAUAAUAUAGAUGGAGAGGCUUGUGUUCUUUAGAUUAAUCAGCCUUACACUCUCUUCACUUUGUUCAUCAAAUUAUUCUCUAAAAUGUCUCCAAACAAUCAAACAUUAUUUAAUUACUCUUUGUUACUAUAUUAAGCCUUCUCUAUGUUUAUUCACUCUUCGUUACUCUCUUAAACCUUUUCUAUCGAUCCUUCAAGCUUAUAAUGUUGUCUUAAUUUGAAAAUUUUGUUUUUCUUUGGUUGAGAAAUUAAGUCGUUAUCUACUGUUUCUGUGAGUAGUCAUAUAUAAAAACAAUGUCCUCUAAAAUAUUAACAAGUGUACCAAAUUAGAUCAAUGUCAAAAACGAUGAACAUGAAUAACAUGUCUAGUCUCAUAAAGAUUUCAAGGUAAAACUCAUGGGUUAUUACUUAAUGUCUUUGUUUCAUUAAUGGACUUAAUCCCUUUAUUGGGCCCUAAUCACAUGUUUAUCUACACUAUACUAAAAGGAGAAUAAGGUGAGUGGAGAGAGUGUCCACAUCAGAUUUUUAAUUCAGACCAAUCAGGGAUAUGUUUUGUGACACGUCAUAUAAGCUUCAGUCAACCAGAUUUUAAACGAGCCAUUCCUGUGGGCUCAUUAUAUUCAUAAGUGGCCCAUCUAAAACGCAUAUCUCCGAUCCUGAUAUUCUUAGACGUUAACAAUGUUGAUGAUCGACUCCUGCGCUUCCACUCUUGCAAAUCAUGGUAACUUCUCUGAUAUAAUCACGAGCCACUCUCGAUCAUUUACUUAUGUUCUUAAUAAUUUUGUUUCACCUCCCCCAGUUCCUCUUCCUAAUUCAAUUCAACCCAUAAGUCCUGAAUAGCCUAAUCCAUAAAGCCUCUGCUUCUCCUCCUACAUCUUCGUAUUCUUCAUUGUCUCUCAUUCGUUGAGAUUUUCUUACCAAUUGGCGACAAUAUGAUUCUCUCUUUGCAAUAAUGGCUGAUGAAAAUAAUGAGAUGAAGGAGGUGAAGGAUGAUUAAGGAGUAAAUUGUUGUCUUGCACCAUAACAAAUAAGAAGAAGAAGAAAAAGUUGUCAUUUUAGACCUAUCGAGGACUCAACUGAGUCACAUACGGAGAAAUCCGAUUCACUGCCUGGUUGAAUCACAGAUCAAUGAAUGAUAAAAAGUAUCCCUGGUGCAGAAGAUUUGGAUGUCUCCAGUGGGGUCAGUGGCCUUAUGCUACCGUUGAUAUACUACAUAUUCCAAUGACAUCAUAUCUUCACAGCCAACAAUGAGGAAGAUGAACAUGGCGACAUGAAGCCAGCCUCUAUCGCUGAGGUUUGUAACUGCAGCAAAUCAUAGUAGACACUAGAAGGUGCUUGCAGAUGUUUCCAAAUGAAAUUUGGUAGGUCAUCACGAAACUCCUCUAUUUGGUUAACAAAGGAUGAAGUAAAAGAAAUCUUCUUUACAAAGCUUUCCCAAUCUAAAGACACACCUUUGGGAGAGAAAGGUUUACUUGAUCGUAAAGAAAAUUUCUCCAUCAGCUGAUAAGGUUCGUAGUUUGUAAUUUGCGUAAGUAACGGGAUCCUAACACUUAAACUGUAGGUAUAGUUUCUGAUUAGUUGUUUGUCUUUCUAUGGUUAUUAUUGUUACAAGCUCCCUGAUCAGGGAUAUGAAUAGCAAGAUUGGUAUGUAUCGUGCAAAUGGUAUAACUAUCAUAUGCCGAAUAGACGAAACCCCUUUUUCACAAAUCAUCCCUCAAAUAAUCCCAAGAGGGUCGUUAAAAGGAUAAAGCAUUGUGAGAAAUGUACGGCAAGAGCAACAUUUUGAAGUAUUGGAUGUAUCUUGAUAAGAUAAGAAAUGUAUUUCUUAAUUUGCUUCACCAGGACAUCACGAAAUUAUAAUUUGUUCUUUCUUCUUUCAUCUUCUACUGAUUGGUUGUUAUUUGAAUUGUUGUGAUAUUUAGUAGGGAUGUUUAAAGGAGAAUAGAAGCUAACAAGUCAGUUUCGGAGAUUAAUUAUGAAGGUGAGGGUGAGGAUGGUAGUAAAUAGGUUUGUAGUUGAUCUUUUUAAAUUACGUUUCACUGUGUAUAAUUAAAAUUCAUGAUGAAACGGUGACUAAGAAGUUGAAGUUUGUCGCAUAAGUACAGAUGGCUGAUCUCUUUUUGUUCUUUAUCUUUUCGUAAAAUGGUUAUGGGAAUGAUUAAAAGAGAGUGUUUUUAUUUAUCAUUCUCUUUGUUUAUAUACUUCCAUAAAAUGUUUUAUUAUCUACAUGAUUAAGAUUCUUAUUUUAUAAAUUUGCGAUCUGAUAUUUCUAUUUUGACAUGUAAUUUAUUCAAAUAAAAUUGUAGAUGAAAUAUGGUAAAUAAAAUUGAUUUAUUUGGCCACGAUAAUGUUGUUUUCAAACUCAUGUCCAAUUCUAAAUUUAAACAUUUCUAACCUAUUAAAUAUAAUAUAUUUAAGCAGAUAAAUUUUCAAUAAAAUUAAAGGCAGCAAAUUAGUAUUAAAUAAGCGUAAGAAAUUGUAUUAAUCUUUGAUGAUGCAAUUAAAUAAAAUAUAAAAUGAAUAAAAACUGAUUAUUAAAUAUCAAUAUAAAAAGAAGAGUAAGAAAAAAAUAAAACAUCAAAGAUUAUAAAAUGGAAAACUAAAGAGGAAAUAAACACAUAAAUUUAUACGCAAAUUUUAUGUUACUUCAAUAGAUACGUCAAUAAGUUUGAACCAAGUAAUAAACAAUAUAAAUUCAUUAAAUUAUAAAAAUAAAUUAUUAAUUAUAUUGUUACACAUCUAAAAUUUAAAAUUAAACAUCAAUA